rnacentral:rRNA from 1 species
GAUGAACGCUGGCGGCGUGCCUAAUACAUGCAAGUCGAGCGAGACUCUUCGGAGUCUAGCGGCGGACGGGUGAGUAACACGUGGGCAACCUGCCUGUAAGACUGGGAUAACACCGGGAAACCGGUGCUAAUACCGGAUAAUCCUUUUCCUCUCAUGAGGAAAAGCUGAAAGUCGGUUUCGGCUGACACUUACAGAUGGGCCCGCGGCGCAUUAGCUAGUUGGUGAGGUAACGGCUCACCAAGGCGACGAUGCGUAGCCGACCUGAGAGGGUGAUCGGCCACACUGGGACUGAGACACGGCCCAGACUCCUACGGGAGGCAGCAGUAGGGAAUCUUCCACAAUGGGCGAAAGUCUGAUGGAGCAACGCCGCGUGAGCGAUGUAGGCCUUCGGGUCGUAAAGCUCUGUUGUUAGGGAAGAACAAGUGCCGGAGUAACUGCCGGUACCUUGACGGUACCUAACCAGAAAGCCACGGCUAACUACGUGCCAGCCGCCGCAGUAAUAC